UACGAAGGGUGCAAGCGUUACUCGGAAUUACUGGGCGUAAAGCGUGUGCAGGUGGUUUGUUAAGUCUGCUGUGAAAGCCCCGGGCUCAACCUGGGAAUGGCAGUGGAUACUGGCAAGCUGGAGUGCGGUAGAGGGUAGUGGAAUUCCCGGUGUAGCGGUGAAAUGCGUAGAGAUCGGGAGGAACACCAGUGGCGAAGGCGGCUACCUGGACCAGCACUGACACUCAGACACGAAAGCGUGGGGAGCAAACAGG
rnacentral:rRNA from 1 species